rnacentral:tRNA from 1 species
GGGGUCAUGGGAUAACCUGGUAGCCUACGUGCUUGGGGUGCACGUGAUCCGAGUUCAAAUCUCGGUGACCCCA